AAACUUGAGAGUUUGAUCCUGGCUCAGAACGAACGCUGGCGGCAUGCCUAACACAUGCAAGUCGAACGAACCCUUCGGGGUUAGUGGCGCACGGGUGCGUAACGCGUGGGAACCUGCCUUUAGGUUCGGAAUAACUCAGAGAAAUUUGAGCUAAUACCGGAUAAUGUCUUCGGACCAAAGAUUUAUCGCCUUUAGAUGGGCCCGCGUUAGAUUAGAUAGUUGGUGGGGUAAUGGCCUACCAAGUCGACGAUCUAUAGCUGGUCUG
rnacentral:ncRNA from 1 species